rnacentral:rRNA from 1 species
GGAGGGUGCAAGCGUUGUUCGGAAUUACUGGGCGUAAAGCGCGUGUAGGCGGCUUGGCAAGUCGAGUGUGAAAUCCCAGGGCUCAACCCUGGAACUGCACCCGAAACUGCCUAGCUAGAGUCCCGGAGAGGGUGGCGGAAUUUCCGGUGCAGAGGUGAAAUUCGUAGAUCUCGGAAGGAACACCAGUGGCGAAGGCGGCCACCUGGACGGUGACUGACGCUGAGACGCGAAAGCGUGGGGAGCAAACAGGGAUUAGAUACCCUGGUAGUCCACGCCGUAAACGUUGAGUGCUAGGCGUCGGGGGUAUUGACCCCUCCGGUGCCGGAGUUAACGCAUUAAGCACUCCGCCUGGGGAGUACGGCCGCAAGGCUA